UACGGCCUGAGAAUUUUGUUCCAGCACCGGUGUGAGGAAAACAUCUGAGCCCAUGAAUUGCCAGACCCUGGAUACCUGAGACACAUCCACUUGCUUCUCAGAUUGGACAUCUGUGGGCUUCCCUUUGCUGUGACGUUUGGAGUGCAUAAUGAGGAGAAAUAAACACAGAAAGAUCUCCAGAAAGAAGCCAUGGUAAGAUUCAAGGUUUCACAGUCCAAGCUAAUGCCUGUAGACACUUGACCAAGUGAUCUGAGAAAAUUGGAUUUCUGGCAAAACAAGUGUACCUAGACUCAGGCAAGGGUGGAGAACAGAGGGCGACUAGAUUAAAUGGAAAGAAUGCCCAGGCAUCCCAUUGCCUCCCUUUGAUGUUCCAGAACUUCGUCAAGACAGUGAUGAGCUACAUGUACACCUGGAGGAGGACCAUGCAGAAUACCAUCCAGCGCCAUGAACACUAGUCAGUCAGUCAGUAAUGGUGAACUUCUCGUUGUGCUCCAGCUCAAUUUUCUCAUGUUUGAUGAUAGUUCAGGAUCAAGCUCAGAAGCGCACAGCUGCCAGCAAGCAGUCUACUACUGAACUGCACCAUCUCUCCAGCCUGUGCUUACUCUUGAAUAGCCCCAAAGUAGUCAAUGG
ensembl:processed_transcript 5530601H04Rik RIKEN cDNA 5530601H04 gene